UGGGCUCUUGGAUUAGUCUUUUUUUCACACUGAUAUAAAGAACUACUGGAGACUGGGCAAUUUAUAAAGACAACAGCUUUAAUUAAUUCAUAGCUCCACAUGGCUGGGGAGGCCUCAGGAAACUUACAAUCAUGGUGGAAGGUGAAGAGGAAGCAGGAAUCUUCUUCACAAGGCAGCAGGAAAGGGAGGUGGGGGGGGAAACUUCCAAACACUUUUAAACCAUCAGAUCUCAUGAGAACUACCUCAUUAUCACAAGAACAGCAUGGGGGAAACCACCCCCAUGAUCCAAUCACCUCCCCCCAGGUCUCUCCCUCGACACAUACAGAUUAUGAUUUGAGAUGAGGUUUAGGUGGGGACACAGAGCCAAACCAUAUCAGCUUUCAAACCCCAAUAACUAAAAAUCGCCUUUUGCCUCCGUAAUAGGCCAGAACACAAGCUGAAUUUGUGAGUCCAGGAACAGCUUCUUAGGGGAAUGUGUUCCACACUUGUCCCUGAUGGAAUACUGCACUAGCUACAGAAAGGGCCAAGGUGAAGUGGGAGAAAAAUUCCAGGGACAGGAAAGAGCAGGUGCAAUGGUAUGAGAGACACUCACAGGGGAAGAGGCAGGCUGGAGAGGUGAAAUCAAGCUCAGGAGGAGAAGAGGGGAAAUAAGGAACAAUGUGUGAUGACUCCCCCCACCAAAUCCAGGUUAGGUGCCUCUCUUACCUGCCCAGGUGGCAUCCCAGGUGCACCCCCUGCAGUAAAGUACUUAUCAGACAGUAGCAAAAAUAGCAGGCAAACACCACAAUUCCAUAUAUUCCCCCUUCACAGUGUAGACUCCUUGUGGGCUACCUUUUCCAGCUCCCUUUGCAUCUGAGCAGGGCUAUUUGGUUAGUUCUUGCUAAUGAGAUGUGACAGGACAUGAGGUGUUUCACUUCCAACCCAAGGCAUUUCAGAAGUAGAUGCACCUUCUCCCCACUAUCUCCUCCCUUCCACCAGUUGGGGGCAGAGUACUUGAAGCCCUAGGACAUUGGUGUGGACACAAGAUGGAGAGAAUCUGAGUCCUUGAAUCACCAUGUGGAGGAGAGCCACCUGCUGACCAAGGAUGACUGAGAUCAUGAGAAAUCUGGGCUAUUUUUCUUGAGGACUUUUUCUUUCUUCUUCCAAUUUUCUUUUGUGGUUUUUGGCUCUGUAUGACACCCAUGCUGGGGAACAGAACCUUGAAACGGUUGUUCCUAGGAUGGUCUCUGCUGUCUUAUGAAUCACAAGACAGCCGGGGCAGGUUUGGCUGUGAACUGUUUGUGGCUUUGGUAUAGAAAUUUAGUGUGUGGAUGUGCAUGUUUCUUUUUCUGUGUGUGUGUGUGUGUGUGUGUGUGUGUGUAUACGCAUGCAUGCACAUGUGUCUGUGUAUGAGUGUGAUGGCCCUGGCCGUAUGUAAGAUUUCUGCUUCCUGGGAUUUGAGCCCUGCACUAGGCUGUUUGUGAGAGCGAAAUGACUUUUUUGUUAUGUUAAGCCAUUAAAACUUGGAGGUUUGAGCUGGGUGCAGUGGUGCAUGUUGGUAAUCCUGACUAACUCAGGAGGCUGAGGUGGGAGGAUUGCUUCAGACCAGGAGUUCAAGACCAGCCUAUGCAACACAGCAAGACCCCCAUCUCAAAAAAAAAAAAAAAAAAAAAAAAAA
ensembl:lncRNA